AUUGAACGCUGGCGGCAGGCCUAACACAUGCAAGUCGAGCGAGCGGCGGACGGGUGAGUAAUGUCUGGGAAACUGCCUGAUGGAGGGGGAUAACUACUGGAAACGGUAGCUAAUACCGCAUACCAUCAGAUGUGCCCAGAUGGGAUUAGCUAGUAGGUGGGGUAACGGCUCACCUAGGCGACGAUCCCUAGCUGGUCUGAGAGGAUGACUAGCCACACUGGAACUGAGACAGGGUCCAGACGCCUACGUGAGGAAGCAGUGGGAAAUUUUGCCAAAGGGGGGCAAGCCGGAUGCAGCCAUGCGGGGUGUAGGAAGAAGGCUUUGGGGUUGUAAAGUACGUUCAGCGGGGAGGCGUUACCCGCAGAAGAAGCACCGGCUAACUCCGUGCCAGCAGCCGCGGUAAUUC
rnacentral:rRNA from 1 species